CUAUAACUAGUAAAGUUAUGGCGAAAGGAG
rfam:Clostridium sp. CAG:628 genomic scaffold, scf54